rnacentral:rRNA from 1 species
GCUUAGCCGUAAACUUAAGUAAUUUCCAACAAAAUUACCCGCCAGAGAACUACUAGCCACCGCUUAAAACUCAAAGGACUUGGCGGUACUUUAUACCUGUCUAGAGGAGCCUGUUCUAUAAUCGAUGAACCCCGCUAUACCUUACCACCCCUUGCUAAUUCAGCCUAUAUACCGCCAUCUUCAGCGAACCCUGUCAAGGUCCAAUAGUGAGCACAAUGAUAAUCGUAAAUACGUUAGGUCAAGGUGUAGCCCAUGAGGUGGAAAGCAAUGGGCUACAUUUUCUAGUAUAGAAAAUUACGGAUCCUCUUAUGAAACUAAGAGGUGAAGGAGGAUUUAGUAGUAAAUUAAGAAUAGAGAGCUUAAUUGAACUAAGCAAUGAAGUAUGC